rnacentral:rRNA from 1 species
UGAAUACGAGACGCUAAGGCGUCGAAGUAGUGUAUGUCAUACUUCCAAGAAAAGCUUGCACUGUCAUAGAUAAAAAACGCCUGUACCAUAACCGACACAGGUGGGUAGGUAGAGUAUACUAAGGGGCGCGAGAUAACUCUCUCUAAGGAACUCGGCAAAAUAACUCCGUAACUUCGGGAGAAGGAGUGCCUUAUUCGUAAGGUUGCAAUAACAAGAUCCAAGCAACUGUUUAUCAAAAACACAGGUCUCCGCUAAGUCGUAAGACGAUGUAUGGGGGCUGACGCCUGCCCAGUGCCAGAAGGUUAAAGAAGUUGGUUAGCAAUUGCGAAGCUGAUAACUGAAGCCCUGGUGAACGGCGGCCGUAACAAUAACGGUCCUAAGGUAGCGAAAUUCCUUGUCGGGUAAGUUCCGACCCGCACGAAAGGCGUAAUGAUUUGGAUACUGUCUCGGAGAGGGGCUCGGUGAAAUAGACUUGUCUGUGAAGAUGCGGACUACCUGCACCAGGACAGAAAGACCCUAUGAAGCUUUACUGUAACUUGAAAUUGAAAUUGGACUUUAUUCGCGCAGUAUAGGUGGGAGGCGUUGAUUAUAAUCUUGUGGGAUUAUUGGAGCCAUCAGUGAGAUACCACUCUUGUAAUGUUAGAUUUCUAACUUUGAAUCAUUAUCUGGUCAAAGAACAGUUUCAGGCGGGCAGUUUGACUGGGGCGGUCGCCUCCUAAACGGUAACGGAGGCGUACAAAGGUUUCCUCUGAACGGUUAGAAAUCGUAUCUAGAGUGUAAAGGCAUAAGGAAGCUUGACUGUGAGACCUACAAGUCGAGCAGGGACGAAAGUCGGUCUUAGUGAUCUGACGGUACUGAGUGGAAAGGCCGUCACUCAACGGAUAAAAGUUACUCUAGGAUAACAGGCUGAUCUCCCCCAAGAGUUCACAUCGACGGGGAGGUUUGGCACCUUGAUGUCGGCUCAUCGCAUCCUGGGGCGGUAGUACGUCCCAAGGGUUGGGCUGUUCGCCCAUGAAAGCGGUACGCGAGCUGGGUUCAGAACGUCGUGAGACAGUUCGGUCCAUAUCCGGUGUAGGCGUUAGAAUAUUGAGAGGAGCCUUCUUUAGUACGAGAGGACCGAGAAGGACAUACCUCUGGUGUACCAGUUAUCGUGCCAACGGUAAACGCUGGGUAGCUAUGUAUGGAGUGGAUAACCGCUGAAAGCAUCUAAGUGGGAAGCCCACCUCAAGAUAAGUAUUCGC